rnacentral:lncRNA from 1 species
CAACUGCAGCUGUUAUCCUGGCAAUUUACAAUUUGUCGGACAGGAACAUAUGUCAGAAUGCAAUGAUGAAAAUCAGAAGCCGACUUCGCUUGGAGCGUGCCACCUGUCUGUACAGAGAAAUGGUAGCACUUUGACAUGCCUCUGCAACAAAUGUACAGAACUGCAAAGUAAAAACUUAGGCAGCUGUUCUCGUCCACAUACGAAUGAAUGGAGAAAUGGUUCUUACAGACAUCAAUCACACAGUAUCCUUACGCUCAUUUUGAUGUGUUAUUUUGCGCUAGUGUCUUAAAUUUAUACUGUGUCCAGUGGUGGAAUAAUAACAUGCAUUUACUGUAAUCAUCCAUUCUGUCAGCUUCAUCAUCACGAUCCUGAACGUGUAUGCGUGGUUGCCCAUUUCUCUUUUGUACACAUACAUUUAAUAUUGACAUUUGUUACUAUGUAUUCAUAUAUAAAUGUUUUGAAAACAUGUUUGAUAACCUUGAUGUAUUAUGUAUAUGUUGUAUGGAUGAGGAGCCCAUUUAUCAAAUCUAGAUCAAGCUUUCUGUAUUCUGUAUUCUAAUACGUUUUGUCUGUACAAAUCAUUUAUAAUUACCUCAGUUAUUACUGAUCUCGCAACUAAAUUUUUCAUUCAUUCCUUCCCCACGACGAUUCCAGCUGAAUAACAUAGUUUCCAUAACUCUUGAAAUUAUGCCUCUUUUUGUGCUUAGCCAUUUUUGCGUCUCAUAUAUCUUGAAAGCAUUUGACCUAUGGGCAUGCAACCUUUAAAGAAUAUUAUUCAGCAUAUGAAGCUUUUUAGGGAUUUCACUGAGUCAGUCCAGAGUUAUGGCCAUUGACUUGUACAGCAUCAUGCUUAAAGGUCCUGAAAGUUAUUGCUACACGUAUCUAUAAAAGUAUAAGACCUACAGUAAUGAAACAUUAGGUGAUUGUUAUACAGGAUGUGAAGUUGUGCACCUGAUUUUUUGUUAUGAAUUUCACUCCGUCAGACCAAGUUAUGGUCCUUAAUUUAGUCAAAAUAUGCAUAUAUGUUUUGGUUGCAUAAUAUCUAAAAGUAUUUGAUCUAGAGUCAUUUAGCUAUAUAGGCAUCUGAGGUUUUGUUUGGGAGUUCUCUCUUCAAGAGUUAUGACCCUUGACUUAGUCAAAAAAUACCAAAUGUUCCGUAACUAUCAUUUUGAUGGAAUUUUCCCUUUUUUUAUACUUAAUUUUUUUUUUUCAACAAAGCUAUGUUUGCGCUUGACAUUAAUUUCUAUCUCGGUAAUUACAUAUCAUAACGGAAUGAAACUUCACAGAUGGCUUCCCCAUGACAGAACUAAAAUGAAUGACAUAGGUUUAGUAAAUCUUGCUAUCAUUUUGAUGAAGUUAUGACACUUUUUAUACUAAGCCAUUUUGUUCAACACAUUUCUGUAUGCAUUUGUCAGUGAAUCAGUUUCUCAAUAUGUACAUAUCAUAAGUCAGUGAUACUUUAAACUUGUCUUUGCUAUUAUAAUUCCAAUAGUAUGAACUAGGUUCCUUAACUUUUGAUGUUAUUUUACUAAAAAUAUCUCCUUUUUGUACUUUAACAUUUUUUCGGCAAAACUAGAUUGCAAUCGUUUGUUUCUUUUGUCUGUUUUGAAUAUAUCAUGUUAUUCCCAAGUGUUGUAUAGAACUUGUGUUCAUACAUAUAUGUUUGUGUCCAUAUACCCACUCCACAAUCCAAUCCGCCCCACGGCAUUUUACUGAUACUUACUUGUAUUCCUUGACUUUGCUGUACGUCGAAUCCAUUUUACCUCCACCUCCUUCAACACCAAGUCACAUACACAUAUAACCCAUAUCUCGCCCCAAAAUGGUCUUUAGUUUUUUUUGUGGUUAUCAUGACAUAAUUCCAUCAUAUGUUCUGACCUUGACCUUUGACCCAUUCAUCCAAAAGCAUUAAGGUUCAUUUGUUGAUCAUAGGCAAUUAAAAUGCAAGGGUCAUUUACAGACUGCAAUAUUCCUAUUAAGUUUGAACGCCUUGGUUCCGAGCUUUCUCCAGUAAUUAAUCAUAGACUGUUUUCAAAAUCAACGCCACAGACGUUGACGGCUUGAGAUACUGACUCCAACUGCAUAGAGGUCAUCUCGUAACCACAGGCAAUCGUUCUUAAGUCCAAAAGUGAUCCAGAUCUCGAUCGAAACUGUUUUCAGGGCACUCUGACGACCUUUGAACCGUUUACAGUCUCAGUAGUACUAUGUCCUUGACCUUUAAGCUACUGAUCUCAAAAACAAUAAGGAUCAUCUACUGACACAUGCAGUCAUUCUAUGAGGUUUGACGACUGUAGUAAGUGGUUAAUAGUUAUUGAGCGAAAACCGUUUUCAUUCUCAGUGUCACUGCGACCUUGACCUUUUGACCUACUGAGUCCAAAAAUACAACUGGUCAUUUACUGGUCACAGGCAACCUCUCUAUGAAGGUUGUGGAUAACAGGGCAAGGUGUUCUGUAGUGAUUUGUCGGUAACAAAAUGGUCUAAUAACGGACUGACGGACAGACAGACAUGAGCAAAACAAUUUGCCGUCUCUUCUUCGAAGAUGGGCAUAAUAUAUAUAUUAAAUAUUUUAUGACUGACCAUAAUCUAUAAAUAUCAUUUAAAGUGACUAACCCACACAUUUAGGUGAAAAAUAGUUUCUCUCAAAAAUCCUUAAAAGUGAGUACAUGUACAUUGAGAGUGACCAGUGGUGUAAGCUUAUUGAAAGAUGUUCUUAUAAAGAACCAAACAUAUUGUGCAGAUGCAACGCCUUUGAAUGCAGAGCAUUUACAUUCUUCUUGCUUUUUUCCCAAUAUCUAACUUUUAUUUUCACCAACUUUAUCAUUAUCAAUAUAAGCCAAACUUGGUGGAAAUGAACAUGCUGAAAAAUUUCACCCAAAAAUUAGCCUUUUAUGUAAAGUAAACAAAAAUUAAUAACAUACUAGUCCUGUUGAAGACAUUUGGCUGUUAGCUGUGUUAUAGUUCAUAUAAUUUUUGUUCGAAUUAUAAUUGCGUUGAUUUGUGUAGUGACUUGUUUACAUGCAUUUGUAUGAUCGUUGAUGUUUUCUGUACUAUGGGACUUACAUACUUUAGAUAAAAUCCUAAAAGGUUCGAAAUCUUUUAUUGAUAAAGAUGCAUAUAAUUGUCACUGAAUCCUAUCACUUUGAGAACUGUUAAUAAUUCAGUCCAUAGUCAGCUUUUAACGAGAAUUUUCAAGAAUUCUCUCCCUUAAUUAUUGACUGUGUAAAAGCAAUUCCCUUCAAAUUGGAUUGUCUCCCUUACAUUAGCUAGCGUCGUGUCAUUCAUGACCCAAGUCAGUAAUUCUUUGUCAUGGAUUUUGCAUUGAUCUAAAAUUUUGCUUUGGGUAAUACAUGGAAAUUAAGCUCGCAUUUUACUCCAUAGAAAGCAACAAAACAUGUAGCCAGUUUUUGAUAUAAAUCAUGUUAUUUUAUAGAUUCAUAUAGAAAUAUUAUUCUUGUAAAGAUAUAAAACAUUUCUGUAAAAAAACAUUAUGUU